GGGGUUGUGGCUCAGAGGUAGAGUGCUCGCCUAGCACGUGUGAGGCACUGAGUUCAAUCCUUAGCACUACA
rnacentral:tRNA from 1 species